CGGAGUGUAGCUUAGCCUGGUAAAGCGCUUGCUUCGGGAGCAAGAGAGCGGAGGUUCGAAUCCUCUCACUCCGA
rnacentral:tRNA from 1 species